rnacentral:rRNA from 1 species
CGUUUGACCUCGGAUCAGGUAGGGAUACCCGCUGAACUUAAGCAUAUCAAUAAGCGGAGGAAAAGAAACCAACAGGGAUUGCCCUAGUAACGGCGAGUGAAGCGGCAACAGCUCAAAUUUGAAAUCUGGCUCUUUUAGAGUCCGAGUUGUAAUUUGCAGAGGGCGCUUUGGCUUUGGCAGCGGUCCAAGUUCCUUGGAACAGGACGUCACAGAGGGUGAGAAUCCCGUACGUGGUCGCUAGCUAUUGCCGUGUAAAGCCCCUUCGACGAGUCGAGUUGUUUGGGAAUGCAGCUCUAAAUGGGAGGUAAAUUUCUUCUAAAGCUAAAUAUUGGCCAGAGACCGAUAGCGCACAAGUAGAGUGAUCGAAAGAUGAAAAGCACUUUGGAAAGAGAGUCAAACAGCACGUGAAAUUGUUGAAAGGGAAGCGCUUGCAGCCAGACUUGCUUGCAGUUGCUCAUCCGGGCUUUUGCCCGGUGCACUCUUCUGCAGGCAGGCCAGCAUCAGUUUGGGCGGUGGGAUAAAGGUCUCUGACACGUUCCUUCCUUCGGGUUGGCCAUAUAGGGGAGACGUCAUACCACCAGCCUGGACUGAGGUCCGCGCAUCUGCUAGGAUGCUGGCGUAAUGGCUGUAAGCGGCCCGUCUUGAAACACGGACCAAGGAGUCUAACAUCUAUGCGAGUGUUUGGGUGUCAAGCCCGAGCGCGUAAUGAAAGUGAACGGAGGUGGGAACCCGCAAGGGUGCACCAUCGACCGAUCCUGAAGUUUACGGAAGGAUUUGAGUAAGAGCAUGGCUGUUGGGACCCGAAAGAUGGUGAACUAUGCUUGAAUAGGGUGAAGCCAGAGGAAACUCUGGUGGAGGCUCGCAGCGGUUCUGACGUGCAAAUCGAUCGUCAAAUUUGGGCAUAGGGGCGAAAGACUAAUCGAACUAUCUAGUAGCUGGUUCCUGCCGAAGUUUCCCUCAGGAUAGCAGUAACGUAUUCAGUUUUAUGAGGUAAAGCGAAUGAUUAGAGGCA